ACAAAAGUAGGCAGUGGUCCACAUUUGGCUCAUGGGUCAUAGCUUGUCAGCCCCUGCUCUACAGAGUCUGUGUGUAUGGGAACAUCCUAAAGACUUUACUCUCCCAGUAUUGUCCAGAGCAGUACUCUCUAAAAGAAAUGUAAUGGUAGCCACAUAUAAAUGCUUAAUUUUCUAAUAGCUAUAUUAAAAAAGCAAAGAGGUGAAAUUAAUUUUAACAAUGUUUUAUUUAACCCAAUAUACCCAGAAUUUUGUCAUUUUAACAUGAUACCGUCAUUAGAAAUUGGUUAAUGAGAUAUUUUACUUUCUUUUUUUCCUACUAAGUCUUCAAAACCUGGCCCAUAUCUUUGGAUUACAGUACAUCUUAAUUUGGAGUAGCCACAUUUCAAGUGUGGCUGUCAGCUACUCUAUCAGUGCAUAUCUAGAGACUUCAUAGUUAUCUAAGAUCUAACUGCUUCGCUUCCAGCCUGGAAAUUACCCACUGGUUCUAGAAAGGAGGCAAAGAUUUUAAAGCCAUGGAUGACUAUCAUAGGUGUUGACAAUGACAAUCCUGAAGGAUUUGGAAGCUCUGCGUCACCCAAAGGAAAAGCGCCAGAGUCAGGAUGCAGUUCCAGACAGGUGUCCCUCCUUACUCAAAAUGUGUCAAGGUCAGGUGCUGAUGAUCUGUGCCAGCAACUGUGAAGACAGGAAGACUGGAAGGAAAAAACACAACAGUUUUCUGGAACAGCGAGAUGCAAAAAUCCUGAACCUUCAAAGCCAGCUCCUGCAGAAGAGAGAGGGCCUGGCAGCUGAGCUGGAUGCUUCAGGAGCAGAGGAUCUAUCAACUGCAGACCAAGCAUAGGGAGACGCAGGCAGACCUGGAACAGAAACCCAGCCAGCGCCAGCCGCUCCGACAGUACUUGGUGGCCGGAGAGUCGGCAGCAGGAAGCAUGAGGCAGGAAAUGACCCAAUCCUUGAGGUCUGGUCAUUUUUCUGUGCAUCGAUCUAUUCCUUGGAUUGUUUUGAAGUUAAUAUUGCAGUUGCCUUGA
rnacentral:lncRNA from 1 species